rnacentral:rRNA from 1 species
UGCGUAGGUGGUGGGGUAAGUCUCGUGUGAAAGCUCGCGGCUCAACCGCGAAAAGUCACGGGAUACUAUUCUGCUGGAGGGUUGGGAGGGGGGACUGGAGUUCUCGGUGUAGCAGUGAAAUGCGUAGAUAUCGAGAGGAACACCAGUGGCGAAGGCGAGUCCCUGGACAACACCUGACACUGAGGCACGAAAGCUAGGGGAGCAAACA